rnacentral:rRNA from 1 species
CAGCCGCCGCGGUAAUACGAAGGGUGCAAGCGUUACUCGGAAUUACUGGGCGUAAAGCGUGCGUAGGUGGUGGUUUAAGUCCGUUGUGAAAGCCCUGGGCUCAACCUGGGAAUUGCAGUGGAUACUGGGUCACUAGAGUGUGGUAGAGGAUAGUGGAAUUUCCGGUGUAGCAGUGAAAUGCGUAGAGAUCGGAAGGAACAUCUGUGGCGAAGGCGACUAUCUGGGCCAACACUGACACUGAGGCGCGAAAGCGUGGGGAGCAAACAGGAUUAGAUACCCCGGUAGUCCCUGUCUCUUAUAC